rnacentral:rRNA from 1 species
AAGCUUAUGGGCUUUUAUAAUAUAGGUUGGUUUUGUGCCUACCUUUUGCAUCAUGAUUCUUUGAUGGUUUGUGCAGAAGGCACUUUCUCGAAAGGGGGCGAUCUUGUGCGGGCUUGCUUAGUGCUUAGUCUCUAACAGGUAGUUUUGACUAAAGGCCGCGCAUGCUGUGAUAAAUUAAUCGGGCCUCCGGAUAGCUAGGUUGCAGACAAAAAUUUCAAGUUAUAUCUUCUGUUCUGAGAUGGGAGACGGCCCAGAAACAUAAUAGCUUUUUUCUUUUUUAGGUUAAGGGUCCCUGGUUUAAUGCCCGUGUUACUACGGAAAGUUUAUUGUGUUAUUGUUUUGGGAGGAGUCGUCUGAUUAUAAUUUUUAGUGUGAGUAUGAAGGAAUAAGUAAUGUUAAAUGCUCUCUUUUUUUCUCGAUCCCUUUCGGUCUGUUUAUUAAAAACAUUUCCAUUUGUUAAUUUAAAUGGUAGUGCCUGCCCAGUGUUCUUGGAUAAAUGGCCGCAGUAUCUUGACUGUGCGAAGGUAGCAUAAUUAAUUGCCUCAUAAUUGGAGGAUUGUUUGAAAGGUUUGACCAGACGGUGUAAAUUAGAUGGGGGGCGUAAUUGAAAUUAAUUCACAGGUGCAGAAUCCUGUGUUGCUUAAUUAGACGGAAAGACCCCGAGAGCUUUGUUAUUCUUUAUUUGGGGCAAAGGCAGAUAUUUCAUUUGUUUUUUGAUCCUUUUGGUGUAAAGGUUAAAGUUACCUCGGGGAUAACUAGGUAAGAGACAAAGAGAGACCUUAUUGAUUUGUCUGUUUGCCAUCUCGAUGUUGACUUGAGGCUAGUUUGCAGGUGUAGCCGUUUGCAAAGGAGGUCUGUUCGACCUGAGAGCCUUUCAUGAGUUGAGUUAAGACCGGUGUAAGCCAGGUCGGUUCUUAUCUGUUGGUGUUGGGGGUUAGUACGAAAGGAUUGCUCGCAAUUUUCUUGG